rnacentral:rRNA from 1 species
AUUGAACGCUGGCGGCAGGCCUAACACAUGCAAGUCGAGCGAGCGGCGGACGGGUGAGUAAUGUAUGGGGACUGCCCGAUAGAGGGGGAUAACUACUGGAAACGGUGGCUAAUACCGCAUACGAUCGGAUAACCCUUAUGGGUUUGGCUGGUCGGUGGGGUAAAGGCUCACCUAGGCGACGAUCUCUGGCUGGUCUGAGAGGAUGCUCAGCCACCCUGGAACUGAGACACGGCCCAGACUCCUACGGAGGCAGCAGUGGGGAAUAUUGCACAAUGGGAGCAAGCCUGAUGCAGCCAUGCCGCGUGUAUGAAGAAGGCCUUAGGGGUGUAAAGUACUUUCAGCGGGGAGGCGUUACCCGCAGAAGAAGCACCGGCUAACUCCGUGCCAGCAGCCGCGGUAAUUC